UUUGGAAUAAAAAAAUCUUACCAAGGUUUCCGUAAGUGGAACUGCGAGGGGCCUUUAUCGAGUUCUGAACGGGUUGUAGCUGGCCUUCCGAGGCAUGUGCACGCCCUGCUCAUCCACUCUACACCUGUGCACUUACUGUGGGUUUCAGGAGCUUCGAAGCGAGGGUUUAAUCGCUCUCGCCGAGUUGUUACUGGGCCUACGUUUAUCACAAACUCUUAAAGUAUCAGAAUGUAAACGCGUCUAACGCAUCUAUAUACAACUUUCAGCAACGGAUCUCUUGGCUCUCGCAUCGAUGAAGAACGCAGCGAAAUGCGAUAAGUAAUGUGAAUUGCAGAAUUCAGUGAAUCAUCGAAUCUUUGAACGCACCUUGCGCUCCUUGGUAUUCCGAGGAGCAUGCCUGUUUGAGUGUCAUGAAAUUCUCAACCUAACAAGUUCUUAACGGGACUUGCGUAGGCUUGGACUUGGAGGCUUGUCGGCUCUUAGCAGUCGGCUCCUCUCAAAUGCAUUAGCUUGGUUCCUUGCGGAUCGGCUCACGGUGUGAUAAUUAUCUGCGCCGCGACCGUUGAAGCGUUUAAUGGCCAGCUUCUAAUCGUCUCUUGCGAGACAGCUUCAUCGAACUCUGACCUCAAAUCAGUAGACUACCCGCUGAACUUAAGCAUAUCAUACCGGAGGAAGAAA
rnacentral:rRNA from 1 species